rnacentral:lncRNA from 1 species
CUUGUUUUAGGGGAAACAGGGUAGCAUGAAUGUGUAAUGAACUACCUUUUCUGUCAAAUUUGUUGUAUAACAUGAUGUUUUGGUGCUUAAUUUGUAAAAUCAUAACCUAUUUUGAUGUUUAAUAGGGUUUUUUCUUAAUCUCUCCUUAUUAUCCAACAUAUUCGCUUAUCCAACGUUCUGCCGGCCCGUUUAUGUUGGAUAAGUGAGACUCUACUGUAUAAGGCCUCCCCCAAAUUAAUAUAAGACACUGUCUUAUUUUCAGGGAAACAGGGUAUCUACUGAGGGAUCCAGGACCUUGGAUGCCACCUUUGCAGCUCUAGAAACCAUUUUCAGUUCUACAAAAACCUCCCAAAUCCAACCAUAUUAACGUUUGUUUGAAAAUUAUGUUACUCCCUAUGUAUGAAAUUACAAAACAGGGUUGUUGUUCCUUUCCACCACACACUACAACUCAAUAACAAUUUCCUGUCACCAUUUUGGCCCCGGUAACUUGAGUCCCCAGUGGCAAAGUGUAUUAAAGCGCUGAGCUGCUGAACCUGUUGUCCAAAAGGUCAGUGGUUCAAAUCCGGGGAGUGGGGUGAGCUCCCAUUCUUAGCCCCAGCUUCUGCCAACCUAGCAGAUCGAAAACAUGAAAAUAUGAGUAGAUCAAUAGGGAAGGUCACAGCGCUCCAUGUGGCCACUGGCAUGACUGCGUGGAGUGCCGUUACCUUCCCGCCAGAGCGGUACCUAUUGAUCUACUCACAUUUGCAUGUUUUCGAACUGCUAGGUUGGCAGAAGCUGGGGCUAACAGCUGGUGCUCACUCCACUCCCCGAAUUCGAACCUGCGACCUUUAGGUCCACAAGUUCAGCAGCUCAGAAGUUUAACCCGCUGUGUCACCGGGGGCUCCCAGGCUGCCAGGAAUGAUGGGAGCUGAAGUCCAAAACAUCUGGAGGACCCAAGUUUGCCCAUGCCUGGUCUAGUUCCUCGGGUCUUGAUACAUGAAUGAAUGACAAGUUCUUACCCUGAACCCUUUAAAACAAAACCUAAGAAGCAGCAGAAUUGAACUCAAUGUUGAGUCAGCUAAUAUUACACACAGGAUACAAACACUACACUUAUUUUCCAUAGACAGCACACACAGAAAAAUAAAUUCACAGCCAAGUCUUGAUUCAAUUUUAUGUGCAUGCAUAUGCAUUGAGUGGCAAUGUGCUGGGGAUGAAACAAUAUAUUUAAUCAAACUAUUAAAAAUGGUCAAAAAUAUGUUGCUGAGUGUUAUGAAAGGAGGAGACACAAAAAGCGGUAAGCAGAAUUCUGGGAAAUGAAGUUUGGGAAGUUGAAAACCCAUGUGGCAGAGAAUUCAAAAGAGCUUGCCCUAAACUACAUUUCCCAGAAUUCUGCUCACUUCCCACAUUAAAGCACUUGGGUUUUCCCUUUCCAAGUUGGAGAAGUUACUUUUAAAACAGAGGAGUUGCAUUGCCUCCAAGUCAGCAUU